GGGCGCGGGGCGCGGGGCGGCGGCGCGGGCCGGGCGGCGGCAUGGCGGAGAGCGAGGCCGAGACCCCCAGCACCCCGGGCGAGUUCGAGAGCAAGUACUUCGAGUUCCACGGCGUGCGGCUGCCGCCUUUCUGCCGCGGGAAGAUGGAGGAGAUCGCCAACUUCCCGGUGCGGCCCAGCGACGUGUGGAUCGUCACCUACCCCAAGUCCGGCACGAGCUUGCUGCAGGAGGUGGUCUACUUGGUGAGCCAGGGAGCCGACCCUGAUGAGAUCGGCUUGAUGAACAUCGAUGAGCAGCUUCCCGUCUUGGAAUACCCGCAGCCCGGCCUGGACAUCAUCAAGGAGCUGACGUCUCCCCGCCUCAUCAAGAGUCACCUCCCCUACCGCUUCCUGCCCUCUGACCUCCACAAUGGCGAUUCCAAGGUCAUAUACAUGGCCCGGAACCCCAAGGACCUGGUGGUGUCUUAUUACCAGUUCCACCGCUCGCUGAGGACCAUGAGCUACCGGGGCACUUUCCAGGAAUUCUGUCGGCGCUUUAUGAACGACAAGUUAGGCUACGGCUCCUGGUUUGAGCAUGUGCAGGAGUUCUGGGAGCACCGCAUGGACUCGAACGUGCUUUUCCUCAAGUAUGAAGACAUGCACCGGGACCUGAUGACGAUGGUGGAGCAGCUGGCCAGAUUCCUGGGGGUGUCCUGUGACAAGGCCCAGCUGGAGGCCCUCACUGAGCACUGCCAUCAGCUGGUGGACCAGUGCUGCAACGCCGAGGCCUUGCCUGUGGGCCGGGUUUUGCUUUCUGUGUUUUUGUUAUCCUUGGAUGUGACCUCCGAAAUACCCCUUUUGGUUCCUUUGCAUGCACAUUGCUCUUUGCUCAGAAGACCUCCUUGCGUUGGUGAGAAUGCAGGGCUUUGAGUAGCCAGCUGCAUUGCUUAAGUUUGAUUCAUAUCACAGCAUAAAUUGCACUGUCUUGAUUCCAAAUCCUAAACCAGGAAGAGUUGGGCUGUGGAAGGACAUCUUCACUGUCUCCAUGAACGAGAAGUUCGAUUUGGUGUAUAAACAGAAGAUGGGAAAGUGCGACCUCACGUUUGACUUUCAUUUAUAAUGACAGGGACAGUGAACUUGCAUGCUCACAGUGCCCAGACCCUCCACGAGCUACACGUCCCUUAGGCACUCAUUUGUUAUUUGCUGGACACACUCUGGAAGCAGUGUAAACACAGGGGGUGGGGGUGGGGGUGGGGGUGCGACAGCAGAGAGCUGGGAAGAGGUGGGGGUGUUCCAGUCCAGAGCAGCGUCUCUCGCCUUUGAGGUUGGAAGUCUACAUGUCUGAUUGCAAAUAUCAUAAAGGUUGCAGUGCUGAUGGCCUGUAUCAGAAGUACACAGUCUGUAACAUAAGCAACCAGGAUGUCAAACCUUUUACGACCCCACAUUAUUUAUUGUACUUUAUAGAGCUUUUCACUGGAAAUCUAAAUAAAUGUCAGUAAACCAAAUAAAGGAGUUCAUUUCCGAGGGGACUCAGGAGUGAGCCACACCCAAAUGGUAGAAAGAUCUCAGGGUUGACUCUUUUUAUUUUUGUAGUUUUGCUCUGUAAGGCAGAGCCAUUCAGUUCUCACCUGGCUCCGAGGUGGGGUGGGGACAAAGGGUGAGCUGGGUGUGGGGAACCUUCUGAUGGAGUUCGGCUUGUUGUCACCUUCCUGAAGCAAAGCAGAAACUGGCCAGGAGGGCCUUUUCGGAGAGGAUGCCCCUCGCUUGAUGCCCUGCAGGCAGCUCCGUAGGCCCAUACAGAGGAGCCGGCAGCCACCCCCUGAGGGCACCUGCCCAG